GAGAACCUACGGGGGGCAGCAGUGGGGAAUAUUGGACAAUGGGGGAAACCCUGAUCCAGCGACGCCGCGUGAGAGAAGAAGUAUUUCGGUACGUAAAGCUCUAUCAGCAGGAAAGAAAAUGACGGUACCUGACUAAGAAGCCCCGGCUAACUACGUGCCAGCAGCCGCGGUAAUACGUAGGGGGCAAGCGUUAUGCGGAUUUACUGGGUGUAAAGGGAGCGUAGACGGCAGCGCAAGUCUGGAGUGAAAUGCCGGGGCCCAACCCCGGACCGGCUCUGGAAACUGUGAAGCUGGAGUGCAG
rnacentral:rRNA from 1 species